AAACUGCGAUAAGUAGCGUGAAUUGCAGACGCUUUGAACGUUAAACUUUCGAACGCACAUUGCGCCGUAGGAGUCCUACCCUGCGGCACAUCUGGUUGAGGGUCGUGAUCAAAAACAGCAGGACUAUGGCUGUAUUAGAAAUAGCUGGUGAAUCACGAGUUCGGCCUACCGCCUCUGGCCGAACGUGUUUUGCCAUAAUGCUAGAAGAGGACAAUCGCUCGCAAGAGAGAUUGCCUACCACACGGAUGAUCUAUUAGCUGAAGCAAUAGGUCUCGGUCACCGGGUAUCAUGCUUAUAUACUCUGUGGCGUCUGAGAUACAGCUAGUGGGCUUCAUACGUGCCUGGUAUUGAGAGUAUUCGCUCUCCCGACCUCAACUCAGGUGUGAUUACCCGCUGAACUUAAGC
rnacentral:misc_RNA from 1 species